GCUCAAGUUUUUAAGGGCACACGGUGGAUGCCUUGGCACCAGGAACCGAAGAAGGACGUAGGAAUCUGCGAUAAGCCUCGGGGAGUCGAUAACCAGACUGUGAUCCGAGGAUUUCCGAAUGGGGAAACCCGGCUGGAGGCAAGUCCAGUCACUCUCAUCUGAACACAUAGGGUGAGUAGAGGGAACGUGGGGAAGUGAAACAUCUCAGUACCCACAGGAAGAGAAAGCAACCGCGAUUCCGUGAGUAGUGGCGAGCGAAAGCGGAAGAGGCUAAACCUUAUCUGUGUGAUAGCUGUCAGGCGUUGCAGGUAAGGGGUCGUGGGACUGCUCAGCUGGUUCUGACAGGCCGGCAGGGAGUCAAAAAUUCGCGUUAUAGUCGAAGGGCAUUGAAAGGCCCGGCAUAGAGGGUGCUACCCCCGUAGACGAAAUGGCGUGAACUCCUGUAGCAGUAUCCCAAGUAGCACGGGGCCCGAGAAAUCCCGUGUGAAUCUGGCGGGACCACCCGCUAAGCCUAAAUAUUCCCUGGUGACCGAUAGCGGACAAGUACCGUGAGGGAAAGGUGAAAAGUACCCCGGGAGGGGAGUGAAAUAGAUCCUGAAACCGUGUGCCUACAAUCCGUCGGAGCCUCCUUGUGGGGUGACGGCGUGCCUUUUGAAGAAUGAGCCUGCGAGUUAGUGCUCAGUGGCGAGGUUAACCCGUGUGGGGAAGCCGUAGCGAAAGCGAGUCCGAAUAGGGCGAUUUAGUCGCUGGGUCUAGACCCGAAGCGGAGUGAUCUACCCAUGGCCAGGUUGAAGCGACGGUAAGACGUCGUGGAGGACCGAACCCACUUAGGUUGAAAACUGAGGGGAUGAGCUGUGGGUAGGGGUGAAAGGCCAAUCAAACUCCGUGAUAGCUGGUUCUCCCCGAAAUGCAUUUAGGUGCAGCGUCACGUGUUUCUUACCGGAGGUAGAGCUACUGGAUAGCCGAUGGGCCUCACCAGGUUACUGACGUUAGCCAAACUCCGAAUGCCGGUAAGUGAGAGCGUGGCAGUGAGACUGCGGGGGAUAAGCUCCGUAGUCGAGAGGGAAACAGCCCAGACCACCAGCUAAGGUCCCUAAGCGUGUGCUAAGUGGGAAAGGAUGUGGAGUUGCAUUGACAACCAGGAGGUUGGCUUAGAAGCAGCCACCCUUUAAAGAGUGCGUAAUAGCUCACUGGUCAAGUGAUUCCGCGCCGACAAUGUAGCGGGGCUCAAGCACACCACCGAAGCUGUGGCAUUGACACAUCUGCCCGGCCACCACACCUGCGGGUUGGUGGUCCAAGCGUGUUGAUGGGUAGGGGAGCGUCGUGUGGCCAGGGAAGCGGCGGAGUGAUCCAGCCGUGGAGGCCACACGAGUGAGAAUGCAGGCAUGAGUAGCGAAUGACGGGCGAGAAACCCGUCCGCCGAAUAACCAAGGGUUCCAGGGUCAAGCUAAUCUGCCCUGGGUAAGUCGGGACCUAAGGCGAGGCCGACAGGCGUAGUCGAUGGACAUCCGGUUGAUAUUCCGGAACCGGCGAAGAACCGCCCAUGACGAACCUAGUGAUGCUAAACGCCCAAAGCUGUUGUCCAAGACCUUCGGGUUGAGGACCUCAGUGGAGCGCGUGACCCGAUCUAGUAGUAGUCAAGCGAUGGGGAGACGCAGGAAGGUAGCCUCCGCGUGGCGAUGGUUGUCCACGUCCAAGGGUGUAGGGAGUCAGAUAGGCAAAUCCGUCUGACAUUAAUCCUGAGACCUGAUAGUGACCGCGUAUGCGGGAAGCAGGGUGAUCCUAUGCUGCCGAGAAAAUCCUCUAGCGAGGUUCGAGCCGCCCGUACCCCAAACCGACUCAGGUGGUUAGGUAGAGAAUACCAAGGCGAUCGAGUGAAUCGUGGUUAAGGAAUUCGGCAAAAUACCCCCGUAACUUCGGGAGAAGGGGGGCCCAGAUCCUGAAGGCACUUGCUGCCUAGGGAGAACGGCCGCAGAGACCAGGGAGAAGCGACUGUUUACUAAAAACACAGGUCCGUGCGAAGUCGCAAGACGAUGUAUACGGACUGACGCCUGCCCGGUGCUGGAAGGUUAAGAGGACGGGUUAGUUCCUUCGGGAGCGAAGCUCAGAAUUUAAGCCCCAGUAAACGGCGGUGGUAACUAUAACCAUCCUAAGGUAGCGAAAUUCCUUGUCGGGUAAGUUCCGACCUGCACGAAUGGCGUAACGACUUCUCCACUGUCUCAACCACGAACUCGGCGAAAUUGCACUACGAGUAAAGAUGCUCGUUACGCGCAGCAGGACGGAAAGACCCCGGGACCUUUACUACAGCUUGGUAUUGGUGUUCGGUACGGCUUGUGUAGGAUAGGUGGGAGACUGUGAAGCCGGCACGCCAGUGUCGGUGGAGUCAACGUUGAAAUACCACUCUGGUCGUUCUGGAUAUCUAACCUCGGUCCGUGAUCCGGAUCAGGGACAGUGCCUGGUGGGUAGUUUAACUGGGGCGGUUGCCUCCUAAAAGGUAACGGAGGCGCCCAAAGGUUCCCUCAGCCUGGUUGGCAAUCAGGUUUUGAGUGUAAGUGCACAAGGGAGCUUGACUGUGAGACAGGCAUGUCGAGCAGGGACGAAAGUCGGGACUAGUGAUCCGGCGGUGGCUUGUGGAAGCGCCGUCGCUCAACGGAUAAAAGGUACCCCGGGGAUAACAGGCUGAUCUUGCCCAAGAGUCCAUAUCGACGGCAUGGUUUGGCACCUCGAUGUCGGCUCGUCGCAUCCUGGGGCUGGAGUAGGUCCCAAGGGUUGGGCUGUUCGCCCAUUAAAGCGGUACGCGAGCUGGGUUUAGAACGUCGUGAGACAGUUCGGUCCCUAUCCGCUGUGCGCGUAGGAAACUUGAGAAGGGCUAUCCCUAGUACGAGAGGACCGGGAUGGACGAACCUCUGGUGUGUCAGUUGUUCUGCCAAGAGCACGGCUGAUUAGCUACGUUCGGAAGUGAUAACCGCUGAAAGCAUCUAAGCGGGAAGCACGCUUCAAGAUGAGGUUUCCAUGCACCUAGUGUGCGAGAGGCUCCCAGCUAGACUACUGGGUUGAUAGGCCAGACGUGGAAGCACAGUAAUGUGUGUAGCUGACUGGUACUAAUAAGCCGAUAACUUGACAUC
rnacentral:rRNA from 1 species